UAGGGAAUCUUCCGCAAUGGACGCAAGUCUGACGGAGCAACGCCGCGUGAGUGAAGAAGGAUUUCGGUUCGUAAAACUCUGUUGUUAGAGAAGAACAGCGCAUAGAGUAACUGUUAUGCGUGUGACGGUAUCUAACCAGAAAGCCACGGCUAACUACGUGCCAGCAGCCGCGGUAAUACGUAGGUGGCAAGCGUUGUCCGGAUUUAUUGGGCGUAAAGCGAGCGCAGGCGGUCAAUUAAGUCUGAUGUGAAAGCCCCCGGCUCAACCGGGGAGGGUCAUUGGAAACUGGUUGACUUGAGUGCAGAAGAGGGGAGUGGAAUUCCAUGUGUAGCGGUGAAAUGCGUAGAUAUAUGGAGGAACACCAGUGGCGAAGGCGACUCUCUGGUCUGUAACUGACGCUGAGGCUCGAAAGCGUGAGUAGCAAACAGG
rnacentral:rRNA from 1 species